rnacentral:rRNA from 1 species
CGCGGCCUAUCAGCUUGUUGGUGAGGUAACGGCUCACCAAGGCAUCGACGGGUAGCUGGUCUGAGAGGACGAUCAGCCACACUGGGACUGAGACACGGCCCAGACUCCUACGGGAGGCAGCAGCAGGGAAUUUUGCACAAUGGGCGCAAGCCUGAUGCAGCGACGCCGCGUGGGGGAUGAAUGCCUUCGGGUUGUAAACCCCUUUCAGGAGGGACGAAGCGAAAGUGACGGUACCUCCAGAAGAAGCCCCGGCCAACUACGUGCCAGCAGCCGCGGUAAUACGUAGGGGGCGAGCGUUGUCCGGAUUUAUUGGGCGUAAAGAGCUCGUAGGCGGUCCAACAUGUCGGCCGUGAAAGCCUGAGGCUCAACCUCAGGACGCCGGUCGAAACUGUUGUGACUAGGGUUCGGUAGAGGAGAGUGGAAUUCCCGGUGUAGCGGUGAAAUGCGCAGAUAUCGGGAGGAACACCAGUAGCGAAGGCGGCUCUCUGGGCCGAUACCGACGCUGAGGAGCGAAAGCUAGGGGAGCAAACAGGAUUAGAUACCCUGGUAGUCCUAGCCGUAAACGUUGGGCACUAGGUGUGGCGGACUCAUUGACGUCUGCCGUGCGGUAGCUAACGCAUUAAGUGCCCCGCCUGGGGAGUACGG